UACGUAGGGGGCGAGCGUUGUCCGGAUUUAUUGGGCGUAAAGAGCUCGUAGGCGGCUUGGCAAGUCGGGUGUGAAACCUCCAGGCUCAACCUGGAGACGCCACUCGAUACUGCUAUGGCUAGAGUCCGGUAGGGGACCACGGAAUUCCUGGUGUAGCGGUGAAAUGCGCAGAUAUCAGGAGGAACACCGGAGGCGAAGGCGGUGGUCUGGGCCGGCACUGACGCUGAGGAGCGAAAGCCAGGGGAGCGAACGGG
rnacentral:rRNA from 1 species